CAGCAUAGUCGUCUACAUGAAACGGCGAACACAUUGGAUUAAAUUUGGCAAUAUUCUAACUGCAGUUCUACUUGCCUCUCAAAUAUUGCUUUUUUGAAGAUGGCAUUUGGAAGAAUUGUUACAUU
rnacentral:snoRNA from 1 species